rnacentral:miRNA from 1 species
CUCUUAGAGGCCAUCGGAGCAUCUCUGGAACUUGGGUAUAACAGUUGGGGGCUCGUCUGGGAUCCCCUGAGGACUCCCGAA